rnacentral:rRNA from 1 species
AACCUCCGCAAUGUGAGAAAUCGCGACGGGGGGAUCCCAAGUGCCAUUCUUAACGGGAUGGCUUUUCAUUAGUGUAAAGAGCUUUUGGAAUAAGGGCUGGGCAAGACCGGUGCCAGCCGCCGCGGUAACACCGGCAGCUCUAGUGGUAGCAGUUUUUAUUGGGCCUAAAGCGUCCGUAGCCGGUUUAAUAAGUCUCUGGUGAAAUCCUGUAGCUUAACUGUGGGAAUUGCUGGAGAUACUAUUAGACUUGAGACCGGGAGAGGUUAGAGGUACUCUCAGGGUAGAGGUGAAAUUCUGUAAUCCUGGGAGGACCGCCUGUUGCGAAGGCGUCUAACUGGAACGGUUCUGACGGUGAAGGACGAAAGUUAGGGGCGCGAACCGGAUUAGAUACCCGGGUAGUCCUAACCGUAAACGAUGCGGACUUGGUGUUGGGGUGGCUUUGAGCUGCUCCAGUGCCGAAGGAAGCUGUUAAGUCCGCCGCCUGGGAAGUACGGUCGCAAGACUGAAACUUAAAGGAAGU